CGGACGAACGCUGGCGGCGUGGAUUAGGCAUGCAAGUCGGACGGUAGGGCUUUAUCGUAAGAUAGAGUUUAAGAGUGGCGAACGGGUGAGUAACACGUAGGAAUCUACCCUUAAGACGGGGACAACCCAGGGAAACUUGGGCUAAUACCGGAUGAGAGUGCGAGAGAUUGCAUUUAAAAGGAUGGCGAAAGUUGUCGCUUAGGGAUGAGCCUGCGGUCUAUUAGUUAGUUGGUGAGGUAAGAGCUCACCAAGGCGAUGAUAGAUAGGCGGCCUUAACGGGUGGUCCCCCACACUGGUACUGAGACACGGACCAGACUCCUACGGGAGGCAGCAGUGAGGAAUAUUGGUCAAUGGGCGGAAGCCUGAACCAGCCAUGCCGCGUGCAGGAUGACGGCCCUACGGGUUGUAAACUGUCCGUUUUCCCCGGGGCGAACUAACCCCCUCGCGAGGGGGGAUGCCGGUACCGGGGGAAUAAGGAUCGGCUAACUCCGUG
rnacentral:rRNA from 1 species